rnacentral:rRNA from 1 species
GAGCUAAUACAUGCUAACACUCUCGACUCACGGAGAGAUGCUUUUAUUAGAUCAAAACCAAACAGACUCGUCUGUAUAUUUGGUGACUCGGAAUAACUUUGGGCUGAUCGCAUUGCCUUGUGCAGGCGACAUUUCCUUCGAAGGCGUGCCCUAUCAACUGUCGACUGUGGUAUAGACGACCACAGUGGUUUUGACGGGUAACGGGGAAUCAGGGUUCGAUUCCGGAGAGGGAGCCUUAAAAACGGCUACCACAUCCAAGGAAGGCAGCAGGCGCGCAAAUUACCCAAUCCCGACACGGGGAGGUAGUGACAAUAUGUAACAAUAUACGGCUUUAUCGUCGUAUAAUUGGAAUGAGUACAAUUUAAAUCCCUUAACGAGGAACAAUUGGAGGGCAAGUCUGGUGCCAGCAGCCGCGGUAAUUCCAGCUCCAAUAGUGUAUAUUAAUGUUGUUGUGGUUAAAAAGCUCGUAGUUGGAUCUCGGCAGAUUUGGGGCGGUUUAGUUGCUACUAUUACUGCCCUAUAAUCUGUAGUUUUUGUCAGAGGUUUUAGGGUGCUCUUAAUCGAGUGUCCUGAGAUGCUGGCAGGUUUACUUUGAAAAAAUUAGAGUGCUUAAAGCAGGCUAGUACGCCUGAAUAUUCGUGCAUGGAAUAAUAAAAUAGGAAGUCGUUUCUAUUUUGUUGGUUUUCGGAAAUCGACUUAAUGAUUAAUAGGGACAGUCGGGGGCAUUUGUAUUCAAACGACAGAGGUGAAAUUCUUGGACCGUUUGAAGACAGACUACA